rnacentral:lncRNA from 10 species
GGCGCCGGGGGCUCUUCAGGCUCAGGGCAUAGGCAGGCGGCGGCCGCGUUUUCUGGAGACGGUCGCUCUCGGAGGGACCCUGCAAUUGCCCGAGACCGAGAGUGGGCGCUGCCUGAAAGUUUGUCCCUGGGCGCUUCGCUGGCCUCAUCCGGUCUCGGCCUUGUUCUGGGCCUGGCGCCUUUCCCAUUGUUGGGGAAAGUGGUCUAGGAGACCAAGGCAGCGUGCUGGGUGGGAGAGAAUGAUUUGUGGCUUCUGAUUCUGACAUAUGUCGUUAAGGAGGGGAGGGAUGAGUGACCCUGUUUUACUUAUGGAGAACCUGGGGCCAGAGCUGUUUUCCCAGGGUGACACAGGCGAUCAAUAAGAACAAAAUGCCUGUAACCAAACCUUGGUUCAGAUUCUCUCCUUCUCCAAGCCCCUGAGCUUUGGCCCACCCGCAGCUUGUGCCAACCCACCGCCCUCCUGAGGGUCCCUCCUGAGAACAGGCUAUCUGCAUGGUGUAUACAGAGCUCUAACUGUCCUGUUCCAUCCAAAGGGGGAAAACCAAGAAGCACUUGUGAAGUUAACAUUUCAGAGACAGAGGAUCACUAAAAGGCUGAGACCUAAUCAUAGGACUGUGAUCACUCUUCUGUCCUUUGCCAUCUUACUACGAUAUUACUGUAGGGCCUACUAACUGCAGUUCCUCUUACCCAGUACCUCAUGUCUGAUGUCAAGAAGAAAAUUACAAGUCAUACUAAAAGGCAAAACACAAAGUUUGAAGAAAAAGAGCAAGCAUCAGACCCAGACUCAGAUAUGGCAGGAGUGUUAGACUUAUCAGACCGGGAAUUUAAAACAAUUAUAACUAAUAUACUAAGGGCUCUAAUGAAUAAAGUAGACAGCAUGCAAGAACCUGUGAAGCAGAGAGAUGGAAAUCCUAAGAAAGAAUAAAAAGAAAGGCUAGAGAUGAGAAACACUGUUCUAGUGAUGAGAAAUGCCUUUGAUAGGCCCAUGAGUGUAAUGGACAUGGCUGAAGAAAGAAUCUCUACGCUUGAGGAUAUAUCAAUAGAAACUUCCAGGACAGAAAAGCAAAGAACAAAGAGACUGAAAAAGUGAAACAGACUAUUCAAGAACUGUGCGACAACUAUGAAAAAAAAUAACAUACACAUAAUGGGGAUGCAAGAAAGAGAAGAGAAACAAAGAGAAGAGAAAGAAACAGAAAAAAUAUUUAAAAUAAUAAUAGCUUGAGCAACAUAGGGAGACCCCAUCUCUACAAGAAAAUUAAAAAAUUAGGGGUGCAUGGUGCACACCUCUGGUCCCAUCUACUCGGUGGGGUGAGGUGAAAGGAUCAUGUAAGCCCGGGAGGUCAAAUCUGCAGUGAGCCAUGAUUGCACCACUGCACUCCAGCCUGGGUGACAGAGUGAGACCCUGUCUCAAAAAAUAAAUAGAUGUGGUGGCACACACCUGUAGUCCCAGGUACUUGGGAGGCUGAGGCAGGAGGAUCGCUUGAGUCUGUACAGGAGUUCUGGGCUGCAAUGCACUAUGCCGAUUGGGUGUCUGCACUAAGUUUGGCAUUAGUAUGGUGACCUCUGGGGAAAGGCGGAUAACCAGGUUGCCUAAGGAGGGGAGAACUGGCCCAGGUCAGAAACGGAGCAGGUCAAAAUUUCCUUGCUGACCACACCUGUGAAAGGCCACUGCACUCCAGCCUGACCAACACAGCGAGACCCCACCUUUUAAAUAAAUAAACAAAAAAAGAAUAAUGACAGAGAUUUUCACCAAAUUAAUAUCAGGCACCAAACCAUAGAUCCAGGAAGCUCUGUGAACACCAACCAGAAUAAAUGCCAAAAAACUCCACCCAGGUAUAGCAUAUUCAAAGUAGAAAUCAAAGAUAAAUAAAACACUACUGGAGGCCAAGGCAGGUUGAUCAGAGGUCAAGGUGGGUGUAUCACUUGAGGUCAGGAGUUUGAGCCAGCCUGGCCAACAUGGCAAAACCUCAUCACUACCAAAAACACAAAAAUUAGCUGGACAUAAAUGGUGGGCGCCUGUAAUCCCAGCUACUUGGGAGGCUGAGACAGGAGAUUCGCUUGAACCCAGGAGGUGAAGGUUGCAAGGUUGCAGUGAGCUGACAUUGCACCACUGCACUGCAGCCUGGUGACAAAGUGAGACUCUUUUCCAAACAAACAAAGAAACAAACAAACAAAAACUAUUGAAAGAAGCCAGAGGAAAAAGCCACCUUACCUAUAGGGAGCAAAGAUAAGGAUAACAUCUGUCUUCUCCUCGGAAACCAUGCAAACAAGAAGAGUGUGAAGUGAAAUAUUUAACAUCUUGAGUGAAAAAAAUACACAACCUUGAAUUCUGUACACUGUAAAAUUAUUCCUCAAAACUGAAGAAUAAAUACAGACUUUCUCAGACAAACAAAAAUUGAGGGAAUUUAUUGUUAGUACAUGUGCCUUGUAAGAAAUACUGAAAGAAGUUCUUCCAAGGGAAAGAAAAACAUACAAGUCAGAAACUUGGAUCUAUAUAAAGAAAGAGAGCACUGAAGAAGGAAUGAGUGAAGAUAAAAUAGUAACUUAUUUUUUUAUUCCAAAUUGAUCUAACAGAUAACAGUUUGUUCAAAAUAAUAAUAGCAAGAAUGUAUUCAAUUAUGUAUUCAUAUAUGUGUAUAUAUAUCUACAGAAACAUAUAUACUUAAGUACAUUUAUGUAUAAGUGAAAUGAAUGACAGUAGUGAUAUAAGAGAUAGGAGGCAGGAAUUGGGAUUAUUUUGUUAUUAUA